rnacentral:rRNA from 1 species
UGGGGAAUUUUGGACAAUGGGCGAAAGCCUGAUCCAGCAAUGCCGCGUGUGUGAAGAAGGCCUUCGGGUUGUAAAGCACUUUUGUCCGGAAAGAAAUCCUUGGCUCUAAUACAGUCGGGGGAUGACGGUACCGGAAGAAUAAGCACCGGCUAACUACGUGCCAGCAGCCGCGGUAAUACGUAGGGUGCAAGCGUUAAUCGGAAUUACUGGGCGUAAAGCGUGCGCAGGCGGUUUGCUAAGACCGAUGUGAAAUCCCCGGGCUCAACCUGGGAACUGCAUUGGUGACUGGCAGGCUAGAGUAUGGCAGAGGGGGGUAGAAUUCCACGUGUAGCAGUGAAAUGCGUAGAGAUGUGGAGGAAUACCGAUGGCGAAGGCAGCCCCCUGGGCCAAUACUGACGCUCAUGCACGAAAAGCGUGGGGAGCAAAACAGGAUUAGAUACCCUGGUAGUCCGCGCCCUAAAACGAUGUCAACUAGUUGUUGGGGAUUCAUUUCCUUAGUAACGUAGCUAACGCGUGAAGUUGACCGCCUGGGGAGUACGGUCGCAAGAUUAAAACUCAAAGGAAUUGACGGGGUCAUAGCUGUUUCCU